AAUGAGCACACAAACAUUACAGGGAUUUUGUGACGUCUGAGGCUUAAACAGGGAAGACAGAAUAUCACUAAGAGACCAUAACACAAAAUUUGAAAUCAAUCACAAACAGGCAGUCAAAACUUCCAAUUUACAGAUCGAAGACU
rfam:Tupaia chinensis contig211043, whole genome shotgun sequence.